rnacentral:tRNA from 1 species
GGGGUUAUAGCUCAGUUGGUUAGAGCGCUUCGUUGACAUCGAAGAGGUCAUAGGUUCGAGUCCUACUAACCCCACCA